UACGUAGGGUGCGAGCGUUAAUCGGAAUUACUGGGCGUAAAGCGUGCGCAGGCGGUUUUGCAAGCCGGAUGUGAAAUCCCCGGGCUCAACCUGGGAAUGGCAUUCGGGACUGCAAGGCUGGAGUGCGGCAGAGGAGACUGGAAUUCCUGGUGUAGCAGUGAAAUGCGUAGAUAUCGGGAGGAAUACCGAUGGCGGAGGCAGGUCUCUGGGCUGACACUGACGCUCAUGCACGAAAGCGUGGGGAGCAAACAGG
rnacentral:rRNA from 1 species